AGUCGACUAAUGAUUAGUUGCACUCAAGAAUGUCCAAAAAACAUAGCAAAACACACAUGAAAGCGAUACAACAGAAAACACAAAGGAACACACAUAGAAAACAUGUGUCAUCAGAUUGAUUACCACUGUACUUCUGAGUCAGAAGGAUGAAUAACAAAUAUUUUCAAUAUUAUGAGCUUCGACAGCAUGCACCUUGGGUGCUUAUUCUUUGUCCUGUUAGAGUGGAUGCACAAUCACUUCAACCCAAAAGCUUGCUAUUAGGAGAAGGUAAGGUAGACAAUCUACUUAUACACUUCAACGAAUCCACUCACGCGUAGCUAGAGAAAGACGCAAACAUCAAAAUAAAUAGGUGGGGGCACAAAUUAAGCCUCUGCCAGGAUUCGAACUCGAAACCUCUGGUUCUGAUACCAUGUUACAGUGGAUGUACUAACCAGUUCAACCUAAAAGUUUAAGCUAUUAGGAGAAGGUAGACAGUCAAUGCACUUGGUCUACACGAUCUUGCUGGCUUCAGGAAGAAGACACACGUCUCAUCUCCAUGCUUAGUUGUCGUAGGUUGAUGCUGGAAAAGCGCCUUAUGAACCAUUACAUGGACAAAAUUUACCUUCUCAUAUGCACUUUUUGUUUCAAUCAUUUCAUGAUCAACGUAGUACUCCCUCCGUUCUUUUUUAUUUGUCGUGGUUUAGUUCAAAAACGAACUAGCGGGCGACAAAUAUUCGAGAACGGAGGUAGUAUUAUUUUUCUCAUCCCCUUUGCUUGAUUUUGACUAUUAUAUUCAUGAAGCUAUUCAAAUAUAAGAGAAUGAAUGAAAACUAUUUUCACAUUCAUCUUGUUAGUUAAGAUCUAAAAGUAAUUUUGUUGUGAGGCUGAUCCCUGAAGUGAAUUUUUGGAAGCUGCUUUGCUAAUGGAAACUGUUGCCUUCACGAGCCUACAAAUUGCAUACCGAUGCUGCUGCCAGCCUUUACUUGUUCAGAUGCAGCUGUAGUUGGCACUUGCCUGUGCCCUGUGCCCUGUGCCAUUGGAUGCCACAGUAGUAUGCUGUCAAGUGCUAACUUAACAGGCUACUGCCAGCAGGCAGCAGCUGCUUAUGUCGUUGUCGCCAUUUCAAGUGGCUACUGCAUCAAAUCAUAUAUAAGAGGAGGAUGAUGGCAUGUGCAGUUUACUGUUAAAUGAUAGAGUUGGUGCUGCAGCAUAUCUAUUUGGAAAACUGGAAUGAUGAACAUAUUUGUACAUAUGUCAAGUAUUUGGUGAACGGAUUAAAUUCAAUAUAAUUCUACUGUUGGCGCUUGCUUAAUCUGGAAUUUGUCAGUUCUUGAAAACUAUUCUCUUUCUAGUCCCGAUAGGUUGAUGGACCUGCUCAUUCCAUGUCAUGAUUCUGCGAUUACUUCUUUGUUUAGUUUGUUAGCAAUUUGCAUGGUAUCUGUCACCAAGUAGGCUUGAUCCAUUAUGUCAAUGGGACCACAACAUGCACAUGCACUGUGCCACAGUAUGGUGGCUGACUGAGUUGGCUGGAGUCUUUCUAAGUCAUUCUCCUGCUGUGAUUAGUGAAUCUCUGGCCUCUGCUCACUUUGAAUAGAAUGUAACUGGGAAUCUCACAUCCGCAUAUCAACCUCAGUGAAAGAAUUUACUUGACUUGAGUCAGGCCAAGCCAGUUGCAACCAAAACUCCAUCUUUUGUCUCCUGGACCAUUCAAUUAUGGGGCUAUUCUUCGUAUAAAACCAUGCCAUGCCUUUGAGGCUCGUCAAUGCUACUGUCUACCACUUUCCUGUGAUUUCAGAUUAGUUCUGGCGAUAUGGGCCUAAAGGUGUUUCAUUGGCUGAAUCGGAGGAUGCAUCCUAAUACUGAGUACCGCACCAUCCAUGGUAACAAGGCCAUGGAGGAUAAGGAGGACUCUGCCUCAUAGUGUGGUUGAGAAAGACACUGAAGCACUUCUGCUCCGUGAUGUGCUUCUUAAUGGUAUACUUGCAAUUGGCACACUUGGACAUCACGUAGACUCUGACUCACUUUCUCCUGACCUUUGCAUUGAAGAAGAUGAUCUCCUCAGUCCUCAUCAUGGGUGAUGAAAAAGUAAUUGAGGAAGAGAAAAAUGAUAAGGAACCCAGGAAACUUUGCAUUGGAAACAGAACCGUUUGAACCAGUAUUACCUAUUGUUGAGCCUGCUAAGAUGCAUUCAUUGUCGAUGAAAGAAGACAACUUUACAUGCUUUGUAACAGAGGAAAUCCUGAUACGUGAGUUGGAAGAUGGGGGAGCUGCUAAUAUCCAGGAACGACCACUUCUGAUGGUAGAGAAGGUGGAGAAAGUAAGAACUACACUUGCUGAUUUGCUUGCAGCAGAAGUAUUCUCAUCAAUUGCCCCAGGGGAGAAUAGUUGCCAUAAUAUCAUUGAUGUUGGAGCAUCCACUUCAAAGCAUACAUCGUGGAUGGAAAAGGUGCAUCAAAAGAAACCAAGGAAGCCAACACCAAAACCACUGAAAGGCACAAGAAAAUUAAGUCAGGUCAUGAGGAAGAUGUUGGGGAAGAAGAUCCACCCAGAGCAGCUCAAUGGACGUAGCAAUGCAGAGGGCCCUCUUACAGUCUUACUUCAUGAUGUUUAUUCUUGCCGACAAUUUUGCUUCUCUAUUUGGUUGUUUUUUUGGCAUACGCCGCCAAAUCUGGAUUCUUAAUAGAUUGUACAGAUAGCCUUGUAACCCUGCUGUUGGUGGCCCUGCAAAGUCUCAACUUGUCCAUGAGGUAGAUGCCCUUGGUGGUGAAAUUGGAAAAAUUACUGAUAGGUGCUACUUGCAAAAGCGUGUACUGAACAGCUCAAAAGGCCCUGCUGUACGUGCACUGCGUGCUCAGCCUGAUAAGAGAGAGUAUGCAAUAGAGAUGAAGAACAGUGUGGAAAGCACAGAAAAUCUUUUCAUUAGAGAAGCAAUGGCUACAGAGGUUUUAAUUGGAAAAAAUGACACCAUUGAGGGUGUUUGCACUUUCUUCAGCAUGGACUUUAUGCACCAUCUGUUGUACUUAGCACCAGAACAUUCAUGAGUGUUUCUGGGGCCAAGCUGCUCGGCUCCUGGGGCGUGGACCUCCCCAUCAGGCCGCUGCACACGCUCCACCUCUACUGGCGCGUGAAGCCCGGCCAGGAGCAGACUGUCUCGACGAGCGCCGGGUUCCCGACCUUCUCCAGCUACGGCGACCUGCCCGUGUACGGCGCGCCGUCGCUGGAGCUCCCGGGGCUCAUCAAGAUCAGCUGCAUUAGAUCUUAGAGUACACUGUUUUACACAAUUUGGAGUUGUUACUACUAUCAAGCUUUAGACUUUAGACUUUGGAGUACACUGUUUUUACACUGUAUUAAGCUUUAGCCUUUUAUGCUACAGUGUGUAAAAAAGCAAGCUUUAGACAGUUAGGCUAAUCUAUAGACAGUGUAAAGCUUGAUUUUUUGACAAUACAGUUCAAAUUCUUAGAACAAUGCGGUCUGAAAGUUUAAUACAGUUCUGACAAUAGAGUUGAGUACACUGUUUUGAGGC